GACGAACGCUGGCGGCGUGCUUAACACAUGCAAGUCGAACGGAAAGGCCCUGCUUUUGUGGGGUGCUCGAGUGGCGAACGGGUGAGUAACACGUGAGUAACCUGCCCUUGACUUUGGGAUAACUUCAGGAAACUGGGGCUAAUACCGGAUAGGAGCUCCUGCUGCAUGGUGGGGGUUGGUAAGUUUCGGCGGUUGGGGAUGGACUCGCGGCUUAUCAGCUUGUUGGUGGGGUAGUGGCUUACCAAGGCUUUGACGGGUAGCCGGCCUGUGAGGGUGACCGGGCACAUUGGGACUGAGAUACGGCCCAGACUCCUACGGGAGGCAGCAGUGGGGAAUAUUGCACAAUGGGCGGAAGCCUGAUGCAGCAACGCCGCGUGCGGGAUGACGGCCUUCGGGUUGUAAACCGAUUUCGCCUGUGACGAAGCGUGAGUGACGGUAAUGGGUAAAGAAGCACCGGCUAACUACGUG
rnacentral:rRNA from 1 species